AAGGUUUGGAUAGAUGCAAUA
rnacentral:miRNA from 1 species